rnacentral:RNase_P_RNA from 1 species
GAAGCCAGUCAGACCGUCGCUGCCCGUUGCCGUGCAAACCGCGCGGGGAGAGGAAAGUCCGGGCUCCGCAGAGCAGGAUGCUGGGUAACGCCCAGACGCAAUACGUCGCCGCUAAAGUGCGGCCGACGAAGGCGAUGAACAGGGCCACAGAGACGAGUCGCUUCGUUUUUUAAAUGAAGCGGGUGAAACGCGGCAACCUCCAUCCGGAGCAACACCAAAUAGGCGGACGCGAAGUAUCAACGCAGGCUGCUCGCCAAGUCCGCGGGUAGGUGGCUCGAGCGCAGCGGCAACGUUGCGCCUAGAAGAAUGACGGUCAUAGCGCACGGGCGACCGUGCGCCGUAACAGAACCCGGCUUAUCGGCUGACUUCGGCU